rnacentral:rRNA from 1 species
GAACGCGAAAGUCCCGCAAGGGAUCAGUAGAGUGGCAAACGGGUGAGUAACGCGUGGGUGACCUGCCUUCGAGCGGGGGAUAACGUUCCGAAAGGGACGCUAAUACCGCAUAACAUCCUGCCUUUUAAGAGGUGGCGAUCAAAGCCUGGGACCGCAAGGCCAGGCACUUGAAGAGGGGCCCGCGUCCGAUUAGCUAGUUGGCGGGGUAACGGCCCACCAAGGCGAAGAUCGGUAUCCGGCCUGAGAGGGCGCACGGACACACUGGAACUGAAACACGGUCCAGACUCCUACGGGAGGCAGCAGUGGGGAAUUUUGCGCAAUGGGCGAAAGCCUGACGCAGCAACGCCGCGUGUGUGAUGAAGGUCUUCGGAUUGUAAAGCACUUUCGACCGGGACGAAACGCUGCUGGCUAACAUCCAGCAGCCUGACGGUACCGGGAGAAGAAGCACCGGCUAACUCUGUG